GGGAGAGGGGGAGCAGGGAGAGAGCCCCUUGGAGAAGGCUGUCUGCCAAGGGGGCACCCGCAGGCCUUCCUGAAGUGCAGCAGGAGUCGGAAGAGCCCCCCGCCACUCCUCGCACCGAACUGUCUGAUGAGAACUUCUCCUUCCUCUGGAGGAAGGAGCAGCUUCAGAGGGGGAGGACAGUCCAGGAAGCGGUGUUCCUGAUGGACGAAAGAGACAUCUUAAAAGCCAUCCUCGCCCGGCUCCGUCAGGGAACCAAGCCGCCUGCAGGGGAAACCAAGGUGCGCAGAAGAUCUCUGGUGGCCUCAAGAGACACCACCUUGGGGGCAAAGGCUAGCGGCCAAAUGAUGCCCAGGCCACCCCCAAAGAAUGAGGCCACCCUGUACAGGUACUACGGGCUGAAGCUCCGAGAGGCCCGGCGCCAGUCAGUGGCAGCUGAAUUUGUGGGAGCCCUUCUCAGCUGCCAGACUGAGGAGAACCACCAGGAAAUCGCCGAGGCCCUCGGCAUGGCAGCAGGCACCCACCUUCAGGAAGUCCUGAAGGGAAUAAAAUCCUAUGGCCGUCAAGUCUUGGGGGAGACGGCGGCCAGGAAGGACCUGACUCUGAAAG
rnacentral:lncRNA from 1 species